UACGGGGGGAGCAAGCGUUGUUCGGAUUUACUGGGCGUAAAGGGCGCGUAGGCGGCCUUCUAAGUCGGACGUGAAAUCCCUCGGCUUAACCGAGGAACUGCGUCCGAUACUGAAAGGCUUGAAUCCGGGAGAGGGAUGUGGAAUUCCAGGUGUAGCGGUGAAAUGCGUAGAUAUCUGGAGGAACACCGGUGGCGAAGGCGGCAUCCUGGACCGGCAUUGACGCUGAGGCGCGAAAGCUAGGGGAGCAAACGGG
rnacentral:rRNA from 1 species